CAUCACCAAACCGACGCAUCUUUCUGUACGACUAGAGACGAGAUGAUGGCAUUACAGGCACUUGAGGAACUAACGGAGGAAGUGGCUCCAACUAUUAAGGAUUGGUUUCCUAAGUCACUUCUCCCGAAAUCACGCGGUCUCUGACGGCAUCAUCUCAACAAAAGAAAAGAAUUGUUUACUCAUUGAGAAUCCCACUAUUUCAACAUUUUACUUACUUCCUAAAGUUCACAAACAAGCCUCUACACCACCAGGACACAACAGAUGCUCUUCGCAGGAUGGAAUUAUUACAUCUGGAUUCUGAUAUGUGGAUCGUUACCUGUGACGUGGAAUCCCUGUAUACAUCUAUACAUCACGAGGAUGGCCUCAGAGCUACACAGGCGUUCCUGCUCAUGUCCGGAAUGGAUGAAAAUCAAGGGUCGAAGCAUGGGCCAGAUAUAUUGAUGACGUGAUCUUCAUCUGGAAAGGAACCGAGGACGAAUUGAGAACAUUCAUGAGCCACCUUAACUCAAAUGACUUAAACAUCAAGUUGACAUACAAGAUGAGGGAUUCGAAGCAAGGGCAUGUGAACUCUGGGAGCGAUUCCGAGAACGGGGGUACCAGGAAAAUUGGAUCUUGAGGGCAUAUUUAAGGGCCAAACAUACUAAACGCGAGAGUCUUCUGCAAUCAAAACCUAAGAAAGAUGGUGAUAACCAGGGAUGACGACGAGAGAGUUGAAGAAAAGAACAAGGGAACACGUCUUGAGUAUAUUGGCGGCAAACGAAGAAUCGGAUCUACGAAGGCUCACAACAGUUCCACGACAUUUCAAGCUCCACCACAAUUGUGACCCUCGAGGUCUGAUGGUUUGGGAGCUAUUCCGCGUCUACAUGCCAAUUUAAAGUUGUACUUUAAUGGAUUAGGUCAUUGUUCAUGCACCUUAUCUGGGGACAGUUCUACCCUGUCGCCUGGGGUCAUACUUGCACUUUUUUAAUUGUAU